rnacentral:rRNA from 1 species
CCUGGCGACCAUAGCGACUGUGAACCACCUGAUCCCAUCUCGAACUCAGUAGUGAAACCGGUCUGCGCCGAUGAUAGUGUGGCAGUAGCCAUGUGAAAGUAGGUCAUUGCCAGGCACCUAAUGCAACAGCCCUCGUCAGAAAUGACGGGGGCUUUUUGCUGUCUGGGGUUUGGAAA